UGGGGAAUUUUCCGCAAUGGGCGAAAGCCUGACGGAGUGACGCCGCGUGGGGGACGAAGGCCUUCGGGUCGUAAACCCCUGUCAGAGGGAAAGAAGGGUCGCGCGGUGAACAGCCGCGUGAUCUGACGGUACCUUCAGAGGAAGCCCCGGCCAACUCUGUGCCAGCAGCCGCGGUAAGACAGAGGGGGCAAGCGUUGCUCGGAAUCACUGGGCGUAAAGGGCGCGUAGGCGGGAUGGCAAGUCGGUCGUGAAAUCCCUCGGCUCAACCGAGGAGCGUCGGCCGAUACUGCCGUUCUUGAGGGAUGCAGAGGAGACUGGAAUUCCCGGUGUAGCGGUGAAAUGUGUAGAGAUCGGGAGGAACACCGGUGGCGAAGGCGGGUCUCUGGGCAUCUCCUGACGCUGAGGCGCGAAAGCGUGGGGAGCAAACGGGAUUAGAUACCCCCGUAGUCC
rnacentral:rRNA from 1 species